UGAGAAUGUCCGUUCGGCACCUCAUGACGCAUCUACUGAGUACCGGGCGGCUGUAUAUAUAUAUAUAUAUGGAUGUGUAGCCGGCGCUACUGUUUUCUGAGGAUUAGCUGUCAGAUCAUUUCUUCACGUGGCUGGGCCGCCACUGGCCCUUUAAGACACACCCCCCUUCUUUAGUCAGCUGGCCCUUCCAUAUAAGGAAAACGCGCAGCUGUAUGCAGUUCAGCAUCUCCCGCUACACUUUAAAUGCCCACUCACUCCUCACCCAAAUCAGCUGUGACUAUUACGAGUGUUCUUGUUCCAGUUAUCGUUGUCUGGCUGAUAGGCGUGUAUUCCCCCUAUACGAGGCUUCUUGACAGCCCCAGCAGAGACUGUGCAGAGAAUCACCGUUGCAGAGGUGUCCAGUGAGGUGAUAAUUGAGUGAAUGCGUUUGCAUCAGAGGUAGGAGAUUAAUUGUAUGUACACUGAAGGACAUUCAUAUAAGUCUUUAUACAAUUUCUAAUCUCCUUUCUCCAUUUAUUUUAGGAUUAGUUUGCUACCGUUUUGCCUACCUUCUAUGUUUUGCUUAUUGACUAGUUUGUUGUAUUGUGUACAAACUAGUGAUUUAAUCUUUAAAGCGACAGCACCCUCAUUGUAACGACCCACUCUGUCCUACAAGGUCUAAUACUGUCUCUGUGCUUAUACUUCUUCAGUGACGAUCCUGGCCAUACUGUGGAGUGGAGCAUGUGGUUUGCUGGGCACUUUUUGCAUGCAGAUAUGGUUGAUUUGUAGUGAGUGUUUGAUUGAAUACAGCUACAUGUGGUGAUAUUGUGGUUUUGGGGAAACCCUCAGCAGUUGGCCAGAAGAAUCACUUUUUAACUAUCAUUAUGUGUGAUAUUGUAAUUAUUAUAGUUAUUCUCUCCUUGUCAGAGCCAGCCUUCAAUCGUGGGACUUAUGUGUGUCGACUGAGAAAGCUGAAUAAGUUUUAAUCUGCAUUUUGUACUACUGAACUUUUACUUGAUUAUUUAUAUAAUAAACGUUUGUAAACAUUUGAACUUGA